UAAUUUUUACUACAAUUUGUUAAUCUUUUACACCCCCGACCUAACUUACUAUAAUAAAUUUCUGUACCUAAACAAUUGCUCACAAGAGUUACUCAAAUCGAGAUUUCAUACAAAGGAGAGAAAAAGAUUGCGGCUGUUAUAUAAGUGUAUGAAGUAUCCUGGUUGUGUAGUGAUUCGACUUCUUUUUUACGGCUUAAUAUUUUUUAAUGCACGAUUGAGCCAAGCAAAAGAUGUUCAAAUUUUUAUCAAACUAAUGCCGUCAAAAAGAAUGCGAUUGGAUCAUCAAGAAGUGGCAUCUUUGUUAUCUAGCAUUCGCUUACGGAUUCAUAAUAUAGUGGAAAAUAUAUUUCAAGAAUACGAUAAAUUAAAUCGACGGUCAGAAACAUCAAUGUAUUCUCUUAAUUUUUCUAGACCCUAGUAUCAAACUUCCACUUUAUCGAGAUACAGAUUCUCAUCAUAAUAUUCCAGACAUACACAACUCCAUGAAGAAGAUUCCUUCACGCUUUGCUCAAACUCGCUCUUAUUCUCCUUCACCUUUAAUUCAAAUUCCAGAGCUUUUACCCCCAGUAGUUUUUUUACCAAACCCACAUAUGAUAAGAAAAGGAAAUAUUCUGAAUAAAAAGACAGCUUUCAUAGAGACCAAUAUGAAUCAAAACAGUUUAGGAGCGAGCAAACGCAAAAAUGAAAAAGCAAGGAGCACAAAACAUGUAGUAAAUCCACAUAAAUUUGAACAGUUGAACAACGUAUCACAAAAAAGGAUAUAAGGCUUGAGUAAAGAUCAUCAUAUGGGAUGAGUUACAAGGGAAAAAUAAAUACAACGGAAUACAGUUUCAAAAUAAUUAUUAAAAACAACUAUAAUUUCUUUGAAGUCAACAUUAUUUAAGAAUUAGAAAAGG